rnacentral:tRNA from 1 species
GCAGGUAUGAUGUAAUGGUAGCCUGGAACCUUGCCAAGGUUCAUGCGAGGGUUCGAUUCCCUUUACCUGCUCCA